UAAAGCCACCACCGCCGGCAUAACGCGGAACCAACUGUUGGCAACAUUCAUUCGCGCGUCAUUGCUUCGUCCGCGUCGUCUCCGCAACGAGAGCCGCCAUCUUCUCGCGCCUAACGUUUUGUAUGGUUUUGUUCUCUGCAAUCCGCGCACACAGCUCAUCGGUGGCUGCACGUCUGCUCGGCGUCACAAUGCGGCCUGCGUCAUUUUCUGGUGCUCGCGCAAUCGGUGUGAAACAUGUCGCAUGUGAAAUGUUUGAUAGAAGUGCCUCACGUCCAAGUCAAGCCGCCGCACGGGUGUAUGGCUGUGCGCCCCGUUCUCGGAAGCGUCGACGGGUUUCCGGCAUGCGGAUUUCAGCGUUUGGACUCUACUUUUGUUGAGGAUGUCGAUCGACCUUGGGCCUGGCGACAGCACACCCGACAUCGCCAAAGUGCAGCCUAUCAGUUGAGUGCCCCCGAACGGACCAUCAACAUUGGAAAAUGAAGCAGAGCCAGGGGGAAAAGGUUCCGGUAACACUGCAUUCAGUAUGGUGGCCCAGACGUGUAUGCAAGCAACCUCCUUCAUGUGGACCAAGAACUACUCUGCAGUGUCUCACAGACUUCCAUGCGAAGCCCUCAACAUUCUCGUCUCAGUGGAAUGGCUGCUCAUCUAUCUGCGUGUCCAUCACCAAGAUGGCCAGUUGUAAAGCUCCUGUACCCGUUUAAGACAGCUUAAUGAUUUUUUUAUUUAGUUUUCAUGGUUGGCCGUAGAAUCUUAACAUUUUUGAUGUUUCUAACGUUUUUACCUGGCCCAAAGUGGUGCAAUAACUUUAAACCAGUGUAAUGUAUUUAAGUGAUGCUCACUCUAAUGCCUAUCUGGUUUUGUUUGUGUUUAAGAAAUUUGAAUGUCUGAUGAGGUAACUGCAUUUAAACUUGUCAUCGUGGCUCUUUUCAGUGAGCUGCUAGGAAAUAAGAUGCAAAACUUAUCACACGCCAGUUGUAGCAUUUUUGUUUUCAAGACUAAAGUAUACAUGUUUCAAAAGAUGGAAAGUGGGGAAAAAAGCCUCAAGAACAUAAUCAUCCUAGGAUUGUCAUGUCCUUACAACUCUGCAAUGACUAAUGCCUCAUACAUCUUGGGAGCACAUUGGUCGCAAUGCCUACAGGUAUACUUGAUAAGUGAAUAGCUUGCACUCAGAUUUGCCACGCAGUUGAUGGCUGGUAGCUUUUGUUUGUCGUCUGCAUGUUACUACUAUGUAUUCAAUAUUCAUUUACAUGUGCUGCGGUUUUUUGCAGUCACACACACACACACACACACACACACACACACACACACACACACACACACACACACACACACACACACACACACACACACACACACACACACACACACACACACACACACACACACACACACACACACACACACACACACACACACACACACACAUAUAUAUAUUCUUCGUUUCAAUAAAAAUUUAGUUGAGAGUUAGCGCUCAUCCUGUCUGCUUCUAGUCUGUGUCCGUGUCACUUCGCGCUACAAUCCAAGAUCAGGUUACUGUACCAACUUGCCCAACUUUUUCUCCUUGUGUUAAAGACACACUCAGACUUGUUCUUACUUAUGUGACCGGUUAUUUUUGUGCUUUAUAAUAAGAUGCAGUGCUUUUCAAAUGAAAUCAUGUGAUAGUUCGUAGUGAGGUUAUUUAAAAAAACUGUUCUGCUUAAAAUUUAAUUGAGCAAGCCUGUGCCAUUAUUCGGUGCUUAUGUCUUUGUAUUGGUAUGGUUUUACUCAUCUUCCUUUUUACUUUUAAAAUGUGCAAACAUUAUUAUGUAACCAUUUCUCUUGAAUGAAAUAAAUACUUCUGACAUUUCGUCACAAAUUUUACAA